rnacentral:rRNA from 1 species
AGUGAACGCUGGCGGUAGGCCUAACACAUGCGAGUCGAACGGCAGCACAGUAAGAGCUUGCUCUUACGGGUGGCGAGUGGCGGACGGGUGAGGAAUACAUCGGAAUCUACUUUUUCGUGGGGGAUAACGUAGGGAAACUUACGCUAAUACCGCAUACGACCUACGGGUGAAAGCAGAGGAUCUUCGGACCUUGCGCGAUUGAAUGAGCCGAUGUCGGAUUAGCUAGUUGGCGGGGUAAAGGCCCACCAAGGCGACGAUCCGUAGCUGGUCUGAGAGGAUGAUCAGCCACACUGGAACUGAGACACGGUCCAGACUCCUACGGGAGGCAGCAGUGGGGAAUAUUGGACAAUGGGCGCAAGCCUGAUCCAGCCAUACCGCGUGGGUGAAGAAGGCCUUCGGGUUGUAAAGCCCUUUUGUUGGGAAAGAAAAGCAGCAGGUUAAUACCCCGCUGUUCUGACGGUACCCAAAGAAUAAGCAACGGCUAACUUCGUG